rnacentral:rRNA from 1 species
GUAGUCCUAGCUGUAAACGGUGCACGUUUGCUGUAAGAGGAAUCGACCCCUUUUGUGGCGAAGCUAACGCGCUAAACGUGCCGCCUGGGGAGUACGGUCGCAAAGAUUAAAACUCAAAGAAAUUGACGGGGGCCUGCACAAGCGGUGGAGUAUGUGGCUUAAUUCGAUGCAACGCGAAGAACCUUACCUGGCCUUGACAUGCACGUAGUAGAAGCCUGAAAGGGUAACGACCCCGCAAGGGGGAGCGUGCACAGGUGCUGCAUGGCUGUCGUCAGCUCGUGUCGUGAGAUGUUGGGUUAAG